rnacentral:rRNA from 1 species
GACGAACGCUGGCGGCGUGCUUAACACAUGCAAGUCGAAGGGAAAGGCCCUGCUUUUGUGGGGUGCUCGAGUGGCGAACGGGUGAGUAACACGUGAGUAACCUGCCCUUGACUUUGGGAUAACUUCAGGAAACUGGGGCUAAUACCGGAUAGGAGCUCCUGCUGCAUGGUGGGGGUUGGAAAGUUUCGGCGGUUGGGGAUGGACUCGCGGCUUAUCAGCUUGUUGGUGGGGUAGUGGCUUACCAAGGCUUUGACGGGUAGCCGGCCUGAGAGGGUGACCGGCCACAUUGGGACUGAGAUACGGCCCAGAGUACUACGGGAGGCAGCAGUGGGGAAUAUUGCACAAUGGGCGGAAGCCUGAUGCAGCAACGCCGCGUGCGGGAUGACGGCCUUCGGGUUGUAAACCGCUUUAGCCUGUGACGAAGCGUGAGUGACGGUAAUGGGUAAAGAAGCACCGGCUAACUACGUG